AGCAACACUUAGCAGGUGAUCCAGGUACAUGAACAGGAAGGGAAGUCUGACUCUUAAAGUGUUCAGUGACUCCAUUUAGAGUGAACAGAGCAGAAGAAUGAAGACUGAAGACUGAAGCAGAACUGACGUCAGAUCAGAAGAUGAGUGAUUGUGUGGAGGAAGAAGAGGACGGAGCAGAGUCUCUAGUCUCUGGCUGUCUGAAGAGUGACGUGUCCAAAGGUUGUCCUCUGAACUUCAGUAAUGAACCUGGACCCUCAGAGUCAAAAGUUCAGUACAGACAGAGAGCAGAGUCUCCAGUACCCAGCUGUCUGUCUAUGAAGAG